UACUAGAGUAGCACUCGCAUAUCAAUAAGCGGAGGAAAAGAAACUAACAAGGAUUCCCCUAGUAACGGCGAGUGAAGCGGGAAGAGCUCAAAUUUGAAAUCUUAAAGGGUUUCCCUUUACGAAUUGUAGUUUAAAGAAGUGUUUUCUGUUGAGGUUUUGGUAAAAGUUCUUUGGAAUAGGACAUCAUAGAGGGUGAGAAUCCCGUAUUUGACCUUUACUUUCAACUUUGUGAUACACUUUCAAGGAGUCGGAUUGUUUGGGAAUGCAGUCCAAAAUGGGUGGUAAAUUUCAUCUAAAGCUAAAUAUUGGCGAGAGACCGAUAGCGAACAAGCUACCGUGAGGGAAAGAUGAAAAGAACUUUGAAAAGAGAGUUAAACAGUACGUGAAAUUGUCAAAAGGGAAGCGUUUGACACCAGUGUUGUUUUUCUGAAAAUCAAUUAAAGAACUGUUUAUGCUAAGCUGUUUAGACUUUAUCAGCUAUACUGUUUAGUUUUGAGCUUUUCUUUAAUGCACUUUUCAGUUAACAAGUCAACAUCAAUUUCUUUUGCUGUAAAAAAGCUUGAGGAAGGUGGCUUGAGAUUCGUCUUAAGUGUUUAUAGCCUCUUGCCUAUGCAGUCGGAGAGAUUGAGGUCUGCAGCGUAGAUCCUUCGGGGCUAAAUGCAUUUGUGCUAAGUUAUAGCAUUUUAUAGACAACUUGUUGACUAUGAUUAGUCUUGUAGCUUACUCGCUUAUGUUAUUUUACCUACGCUUAGGAUGUUGAGCGCAUGUCUCUCUCU
rnacentral:rRNA from 1 species